rnacentral:lncRNA from 1 species
ACAACGAUGAUAGAAACAUCCACUGUGAAUGACAGGGGAUUACAGUGAAGACAUUGCCUUGAGUCUCAGAAGGACUGUGGACUUCUAAACAGUGUUGAGAUUGAAAGACUAUGGAGACUUUCGAAGUUGGACUAAAUGUAUUUCGCCAGACCAGGAAGCUGAAUGUGUUGGUUUGAAUGAGAGUACUCCCUCAGUCCCUUCUCAUAGUUUUGAAUACUUGGUCCCCAGUUGCUAGGACUGUUGGGGAGGGGUUAGGAGAUGUGGUCCUGUUGGAGGAAGUGUGACACUAGAGACAGGCUUGAGGUUUCAAAAGACUCAUACUAUUCCCAGCAUGCUCUCUGCCUC